AUCUUUUAACUUCUAGUUAAUACGAAAUAAAUUAAUUAACCAGUUUUAAUAGUUGAAUUAUACGUAAUGAGAUUGUAAUAACAUAACCAAACAAAAAAAAAUACCCCAAAUUAAUCAUUAUUGAAGUUCUUGGAUAAGGAAACUUGGACUCUUCAAAAGGAAUCGGUAACUAUGAUUCUUGAUUGGAUUGGAAUAACUCUUCGGAAUAGUAAACUGGGUUAAUUGGAUCAGGAACCACUUAAUUUUCUUGUUUAUUAUUAAGAUUUCAACAUCCAGCUUCAAAAAUACUUUCAAAUAUUUAAUCUACAGAUUUUCGUCAAAUUUUGCAUCAAAACUCCCAUAUGAUAGAUGAUUUUCGUUCUUGACAUGCUAAGAUUAUCGUUUUCAAUCGUUUCUACCGGAGAAAUAUGAAAUGUAAUAAGAAAUUAAUGAAAAAUGAAAUUUGAG